CAGUAGCCGCGGUAAUACGUAGGUCCCGAGCGUUGUCCGGAUUUAUUGGGCGUAAAGCGAGCGCAGGCGGUUAGAUAAGUCUGAAGCUAAAGGCUGUGGCUUAACCAUAGUACGCUUUGGAAACUGUUUAACUUGAGUGCAAGAGGGGAGAGUGGAAUUCCAUGUGUAGCGGUGAAAUGCGUAGAUAUAUGGAGGAACACCGGUGGCGAAAGCGGCUCUCUGGCUUGUAAUUGACGCUGAGGCUCGAAAGCGUGGGGAGCAAACAGGAUUAGAUACCCCGGUAGUCCCUGUCUCUUAUACA
rnacentral:rRNA from 1 species